CGGCCUGAGGUCGGACGAGGCUACCCGCUGAAUUUAAGCAUAUUACUAAGCGGAGGAAAAGAAACUAACGAGGAUUCCCUCAGUAACGGCGAGUGAAGCGGGACGAGCCCAGCGCCGAAUCCGGCCGCUUAUGGAGCGGACGGAAUUGUGGCGUAUGGAAUUCGCUUCGAGCGCGGACCGGCUGCCCACGUCCUUCUGAUCGAGGCUUCAUCCCAUAGCGGGUUGUCAGGCCCUUGGCGGCGGCUGGCCCGGGCUCUCGGUGUCUUCCGGAGUCGGGUUUGUUUGGGAAUGCAGCCAAAGCGGGUGGUAAACUCCAUCUAAGGCUAAAUACGGUCACGAGACCGAUAGCGAACAAGUACCGUGAGGGGAAAAGUUGAAAAGCACUUUGGAGAGAGAGUUAAAAAGUACGUGAAACCGUCGAGA
rnacentral:ncRNA from 1 species